rnacentral:sRNA from 1 species
AAUUAAUCCACACGCGCGUCGACACAUCCCGCUGGGUGCCCCACAAAAACAAGGGGUUGCGGGCUGGGGCGCGCGGAGGCUCAAC